AUCGAACGCUGGCGGCGUGGCUAAGGCAUGCAAGUCGAGCGGACUCUGCCAAGGGGUAACCCGAGGCUUAGUUAGCGGCGAACGGGUGAGGAAUACGUGGAUAACGUGCCCUGGACACGGGGAUAGCGGCGGGGCGAACCCCUUCGUCGAAAGACGCCGGUAACGUAACCCGACUGACCCCGCCGGGAGUCACAUGGUCCGUCGCGGGCGAAAGGAC
rnacentral:rRNA from 1 species